rnacentral:rRNA from 1 species
UGCAGUCGAGCGAACGGAUAAGGAGCUUGCUCCUUUGAAGUUAGCGGCGGACGGGUGAGUAACACGUGGGUAACCUACCUAUAAGACUGGGAUAACUUCGGGAAACCGGAGCUAAUACCGGAUAACAUUUAGAACCGCAUGGUUCUAAAGUGAAAGAUGGUUUUGCUAUCACUUAUAGAUGGACCCGCGCCGUAUUAGCUAGUUGGUAAGGUAACGGCUUACCAAGGCGACGAUACGUAGCCGACCUGAGAGGGUGAUCGGCCACACUGGAACUGAGACACGGUCCAGACUCCUACGGGAGGCAGCAGUAGGGAAUCUUCCGCAAUGGGCGAAAGCCUGACGGAGCAACGCCGCGUGAGUGAUGAAGGGUUUCGGCUCGUAAAACUCUGUUAUUAGGGAAGAACAAAUGUGUAAGUAACUGUGCACAUCUUGACGGUACCUAAUCAGAAAGCCACGGCUAACUACGUGCCAGCAGCCGCGGUAAUACGUAGGUGGCAAGCGUUAUCCGGAAUUAUUGGGCGUAAAGCGCGCGUAGGCGGUUUCUUAAGUCUGAUGUGAAAGCCCACGGCUCAACCGUGGAGGGUCAUUGGAAACUGGGAAACUUGAGUGCAGAAGAGGAAAGUGGAAUUCCAUGUGUAGCGGUGAAAUGCGCAGAGAUAUGGAGGAACACCAGUGGCGAAGGCGACUUUCUGGUCUGUAACUGACGCUGAUGUGCGAAAGCGUGGGAUCAAACAGGAUUAGAUA